AUGGCUUCAUCCGGUUCCAGGACGAGGCCGGCGUGCGCGGACCAAGAGGACAUGCCGAAGACGUGGAUGGAGGCCAGUUUGGACAAGGAGAAGGAGAAGGAUGUGCCCACACCAACAUGUUGGUGUGCUGAUGUUUGCAAGCUGAAGGUGUCCACUGACCGCAACAAGUCAUGGACAGAAGGUAGAAGGUUUUUCGUGUGUCCCAACUAUGCACAUGAUCGUCGAAGGCCAACUAACGCGUAUGACAUACCACCGUCCUCUCCUCCACUUUGCAAGUACUUCACUUGGAUAGAUCACGAGGUACCAAAAGAUGUCCAAGAGGACCAACGUCGAGAUUGGUUACGGAGGCAGCGCCUAUUCGAGGAGUCCUAUGCAUGGGGAUUGGAGCGGGAGCGUCGUGAGAAGGAGGCUCGUGAGCGCAAGAAGCAUGAGGAAGAGAGGGCACGCAAAGAGAAGGAGGCUCGUCAAGAAGAGAGGGCAAGAAAACUUGCAAGGGCUCGCGAUGCACGAGAGGAGGACGAGGCACGUGACAAGAAGGGAAAGUGGCCCCGUACUACUCAGUAG
rnacentral:rRNA from 1 species